rnacentral:lncRNA from 1 species
CCAAGUUCUUAUUCUGGGACCAACACAUGAAAUCUUGGUGCUAAGCCGGGGUUCUUCUGUUCUGUUGCUCUGGGCAACCCUGUGUGUGAAUGUUGGAGCAUUAACAUCCACCCACCAUCUUGUGCAUGGAGAUGAGGGCCUUUGACUGAGGUUGAGCAGGCCUGAAUUUGGGAAAGAAUAAACUUCCGGAGGCUUGUGUGAGAAGCCAGGUCACGCCCAGACCUCUCCGCUCUGCUGUUUGACUCUCCGCCUGUGCUCGGUGACAGUCAGUGAGGUUCAUGGCCAAACUGACUUGGGCCUCGGGGCAGGAGAUGCCUGACCGUGCCGAUCCCCUUCCCUGGGGACGUCAAGGGUGUCCCUGGUUCCCUAAUUUCAAGUCUUGGCUGUGCAUUCUUGGCCUCCCCUUGAUCUCCGUCCUCAAGAUCACAGGUGCAGGGUCUGACCCUUCCCACAGAGUCUGCUGACCUCUGCCCCCGACAGCCCUCCGUCACCUCCUGCUUCUCUGUCUUGGUGGUUUGUGUGGUUGGAUGACGCCCAGCCACAGGAACACACAGAAUAAACUCAAGGGAAAACGAGCACGUCCCACACAGCCCGACUCUGGGGUCAAGGGCAGCGACAGGCGUGGUUGUUCAACAAUUCUCGCCACUGCUCCCAGCCCUGCAAGUGAGUGUGUGUGUGUGUCAGCAUGUGUGGAAAUCUCACCAGGCUCCUGCCAGGGAGGGGACGGAAGCCAGCUCUGUGGCUGUUCUGGACUUCGGCUCAAGCCUUCACCCUGGACAGUCAGCCAGUGGGUACAGGCCCCCCAGCUGGGUUGCCUGCAGAUGGGGCUCCGGAUCAACCCUACAUUGGCGGACCACGACCCUCAACCCAAAGAACAUGAUUGCUUUGGUUGAAAACAAACCUCGAGACAGGAGUUGGGUGAAGUGGUUUAUUUGAGAUGUGAUCCCAGAAGGCAUGGGGUGGAGAAGAGAGACGAAGAAGAGAGGGAAGAAAGGAAGGUGUGUGUUAAUGGGCGAGUUACGGCAAUGGGAAAAUGGGGUUCAGUCCUACUGGGGACCCUCUGAGAGACUGAGGAACGUGCCUCAGAGUUGCCCCACCAAGGAGCAGGGAAGCUGUGGUAUAUUAGUUAUCUGCUUUUUAAAACAGUUUUAUUAAGAUAUAAUUCACCUACCAUAUAAUUCACCCAUUAAAAGCA